rnacentral:rRNA from 1 species
UACGAAGGGGGCUAGCGUUGCUCGGAAUCACUGGCGUAAAGCGCACGUAGGCGGAUUGUUAAGUCAGGGGUGAAAUCCUGGAGCUCAACUCCAGAACUGCCUUUGAUACUGGCGAUCUUGAGUCCGGGAGAGGUGAGUGGAACUGCGAGUGUAGAGGUGAAAUUCGUAGAUAUUCGCAAGAACACCAGUGGCGAAGGCGGACUCAC